GAUUCUACCCUACGGGGAAGGAUGAGAAGCUUCGACUAAGGUUCGACUCGAGCGCCAGCGAGAGAACGUUGCCGCAGGCAACGGCCCGAAGGGCGAGGAGCGAUAGCGACGAGUUAUCCUUCCCCCACCACCA
rnacentral:sRNA from 1 species